AGAGUUUGAUCAUGGCUCAGGAUGAACGCUGGCGGCGUGCCUAACACAUGCAAGUCGAGCGAUUUACUUCGGUAAAGAGCGGCGGACGGGUGAGUAACGCGUGGGUAACCUGCCCUGUACACACGGAUAACAUACCGAAAGGUAUGCUAAUACGAGAUAAUAUGCUUUUAUCGCAUGGUAGAAGUAUCAAAGCUCCGGCGGUACAGGAUGGACCCGCGUCUGAUUAGCUAGUUGGUAAGGUAACGGCUUACCAAGGCGACGAUCAGUAGCCGACCUGAGAGGGUGAUCGGCCACAUUGGAACUGAGACACGGUCCAAACUCCUACGGGAGGCAGCAGUGGGGAAUAUUGCACAAUGGGCGAAAGCCUGAUGCAGCAACGCCGCGUGAGCGAUGAAGGCCUUCGGGUCGUAAAGCUCUGUCCUCAAAGAAGAUAAUGACGGUACUUGAGGAGGAAGCCCCGGCUAACUACGUGCCAGCAGCCGCGGUAAUACGUAGGGGGCUAGCGUUAUCCGGAAUUACUGGGCGUAAAGGGUGCGUAGGUGGUUUCUUAAGUCAGAGGUGAAAGGCUACGGCUCAACCGUAGUAAGCCUUUGAAACUGGGAAACUUGAGUGCAGGAGAGGAGAGUGGAAUUCCUAGUGUAGCGGUGAAAUGCGUAGAUAUUAGGAGGAACACCAGUUGCGAAGGCGGCUCUCUGGACUGUAACUGACACUGAGGCACGAAAGCGUGGGGAGCAAACAGGAUUAGAUACCCUGGUAGU
rnacentral:rRNA from 1 species